rnacentral:rRNA from 2 species
CACCGCGGUUAUACGAAAGGCUUAAACUGAUGCAUCACGGCGUAAAGCGUGAUUAGAAUAUUUAACACAAUAAAGCCAAACGCACCCCCAACUGUAAUACGCCUCCGGGAGACAGAAAAUCUAUAACGAAAGUAGCUUUAACACCUUUGAAUUCACGAUAGUUAAGAAA